UACGGAGGGUGCAAGCGUUAUCCGGAUUCACUGGGUUUAAAGGGUGCGUAGGCGGGCAGGUAAGUCAGUGGUGAAAUCUCCGGGCUUAACUCGGAAACUGCCGUUGAUACUAUCUGUCUUGAAUACCGUGGAGAUGAGCGGAAUAUGUCAUGUAGCGGUGAAAUGCUUAGAUAUGACAUAGAACACCAAUUGCGAAGGCAGCUCGCUACACAAUUAUUGACUCUGAGGCACGAAAGCGUGGGGAUCAAACAGG
rnacentral:rRNA from 1 species